CCUGCGGAGGGACAUUA
rnacentral:rRNA from 1 species